GACAGAGGUUGCAAGCGUUGUUCGGAAUUACUGGGCGUAAAGCGCGCGUAGGUGGCAAGGUAUGUCCGAUGUGAAAGCCCUCGGCUUAACUGGGGAAGUGCAUCGGAAACUGCUUUGCUUGAGUGCGAGAGAGGGUGGCGGAAUUCCCAGAGUAGAAGUGAAAUUCGUAGAUACUGGGAGGAACACCAGAGGCGAAGGCGGUCACCUGGUUCGCAACUGACACUGAGACGCAAAAGCGUGGGGAGCAAACAGG
rnacentral:rRNA from 1 species